AAUAUCUCUUUACCAAGCUAAUUGCUGCCUUCAAGGUGACACGCAGCUUGGCAGCAAAAGCUUUUCAAACCUCUCUUCCUCUUUGUAGAGAGACAUUUUUCUCAGCCACAAUGGAGGAUCAUAUUUUUAAAAGAUAUCAAGAGCUAAUGAAAGAAAGUUCGAGUUUGCCAUUGUUUAAUUUAAGAAAGCUGAAUGCAUCACU